rnacentral:rRNA from 1 species
UACGUAGGGUGCAAGCGUUGUCCGGAAUUAUUGGGCGUAAAGAGCUCGUAGGUGGCCUGUCGCGUCGGCUGUGAAAACUCGGGGCUCAACCUCCGAGCUUGCAGUCGAUACGGGCAGGCUAGAGUUCGGCAGGGGAGACUGGAAUUCCUGGUGUAGCGGUGAAAUGCGCAGAUAUCAGGAGGAACACCGGUGGCGAAGGCGGGGUCUCUGGGCCGAUACUGACACUGAGGAGCGAAAGCGUGGGGAGCGAACAGG